AUUGAACGCUGGCGGCAGGCCUAACACAUGCAAGUCGAACGGUAGCACAGAGAGCUUGCUCUCGGGUGACGAGUGGCGGACGGGUGAGUAAUGUCUGGGAAACUGCCUGAUGGAGGGGGAUAACUACUGGAAACGGUAGCUAAUACCGCAUAAUGUCGCAAGACCAAAGAGGGGGACCUUCGGGCCUCUUGCCAUCGGAUGUGCCCAGAUGGGAUUAGCUUGUUGGUGAGGUAAAAGCUCACCAAGGCGACGAUCCCUAGCUGGUCUGAGAGGAGGACCAGCCACACUGGAACUGAGACACGGUCCAGACUCCUACGGGAGGCAGCGGUGGGGAAUAUUGCACAAUGGGCGCAAGCCUGAUGCAGCCAUGCCGCGUGUGUGAAGAAGGCCUUCGGGUUGUAAAGCACUUUCAGCGGGGAGGAAGGCGGUGAGUUUAAUAAGCUCACCGAUUGACGUUACCCGCAGAAGAAGCACCGGCUAACUCCGUGCCAGCCGCCGCCGUAA
rnacentral:rRNA from 1 species